UACGUAGGGGGCAAGCGUUGUCCGGAUUCAUUGGGCGUAAAGAGCGUGUAGGCGGCCAGGUAGGUCCGUUGUGAAAACUCGAGGCUCAACCUCGAGACGUCGAUGGAAACCAUCUGGCUAGAGUCCGGAAGAGGAGAGUGGAAUUCCUGGUGUAGCGGUGAAAUGCGCAGAUAUCGGGAGGAACACCAAUGGCGAAGGCAGCUCGCUGGGACGUGACUGACGCUGAGACGCGAAAGCGUGGGGAGCAAACAGG
rnacentral:rRNA from 1 species